rfam:Aspergillus clavatus strain NRRL 1 mitochondrion, partial genome.
GACCCAAUGGUCAAGUUUGGUUAAGACAUAACAUUUUCACUGUUAGUGCGGGAGUUCAAAUCUCCCUUGGGUUG